ACGGGCGCCUACACGCGUGCCUACCGCCUACUGACCGCCUACAUUAAUCACGAACAUCCAAGCCUUCACGAAAGAUGAUUCAUCAGUUUUGUGAUGAUCAAGAAUUCCAUGAAGGCAUACGAUUUUUUGCCUGCCCACCUACAUGCCUUG
ensembl:ncRNA ZK617.25 ncRNA